GAAAGGGGGCGGUAGGCCAAAUAGUUUGGGAACCACUGAUGUAGACUGACCCUCUUCUACAGGUAGAAAGGAGCCAUCCAAACUCUCUAACAUCAAUUUGCUUCCUCUACUGAGUUGGAGGGGACCCUCAAGACACAUCUAUAUAGGUCAUUACUUUUUUACAGCCCAGCACAGAGAUUGGCUUAGAACAAAUCAAUUAUUCCCCCCAAAAGCAACAACACCAAUUCCCUUCAAUGUCUGUCUACAUGACACAUAAUUAACCACAUAACUUCAAUUUAGUACAGAGUUAUACUUACUUUAGUUCUCUUUUCAGAUUCAAUCAUUUUAUUUUAUCAUUACUGACUCUAAAUGGCUGAUUGGCUGCACCCCACAGUGCCUUGCUCAUGGCAAUCGGGCCAAAAUAGAAGUAUUGGGUUUUUUAAAACAGUUUAUAUUCUCUUGGUUUUACAAAAGUUGCUUAAUGCUUGCUUACUUUAGACCUCUUUGCAGAUUCAAUCAUGUUGUUUAUUUUAUUUAGACAAACUCUAAAUGGCAAUUGCUGUAGCCAGCUAUUUGAGUCCUUCAGCUAUCAUUUGGCUCCUGAGCAGCUUUGCAUUCUGGGAAAUGUAGUUUAUGGCAGGGUCUUCUGCAAUCUCUAUCAUUGGGGGCCUGGCCUUCCCAAACUACAGUCAGAAUGACUGUGAUUAGCCAUGCCCACAACACCUCCCUUAUGGCAGCACUCACAAAGAUGGAGUCAAAGGAAUGAAAUUUUAAAAGCACUUUAAGUUAGGCUUUACCAAAGUUGUUUAAUGGUUAGUGAAAAUUAAACUGACCUUUGGAGAUGUUACAGAACAUUUAUGAAAAAUGGGCCAAAAAGAACCCAGACAAUUCUCUGACCUAACUCUAAGAAGCUCUGAUCUGGAAUGAAAAUGGAGGGAAAAGGGCCUCUGAGAUGAGCUCUCAGACAGCAGGGCUGAACCAACUUACUCAAGCCUACAGAGGAGUCUUAAACUCCACCUCUAAAUAAGAGCAAAUGGAACAGUCCACCCAAGAGAAGCCAAACCAGGAAAAGGGCAGAGGAGAGAAAAGCUAAGUACUAUGAGGAUGGAUUUUUAGCAGUAUCCAUACUAUGGGAAUUGUGAAGUAUGGCUGGAGAAACAUGGAUAUUCAGCGUUGGGUUGCCACAGCAUUGCCUGCUAUAAACAUUGCUAUAAAACUUGGGGGUGGGGAAAAAUGGCUUACCUGACCUUCUUGUGUCAUUUCAUGUAUGCACAUUGUUAUUCCGAAUGAAAUUUUUUGGGAACAUGGUGAAAUUCUCCUUUUCCUCCUUCUCUUCCUCCUUCUCCUUUUCCUCUCUGCUUUCCUCUUUCUCUCUUCUUCCCCUAUUCCUUCUUUUUCCUCUCUUAUUCUUCUCCCCCCUCCUCUUCCACCUCCUUUUCUUCUUCUUUGUGCUCCUUCUCUUUCUUCCCUUACUUAGGAGCAUGGGGGUAGAGGGGACCCCAUAAGCCUCAUCCCCUUUCAUCCCUGGGCAGAGGGAAGAGCCAGUGAGGGGAGAUCCUUCUGAGGAGGGCGGAAGGUAUUACUGUAUAUACAUGUAUUUGACUAAGUUUCUGUGGGAUCACUACUUGUGUAUGUGUGUGUUAAGGGAAAAAAACCUGGUCAAUUACAACUUAUAGUUGAGUAAUUAGAACAAUCAAGGCUAACAAGCUUGAACCACUCCCUGAAUGGGGUAUAACUUUGGGAAAUGUUUGUAAUGUCUUUUGGGGACUUACUGAAUACUUGCUGAGAGCCUACUAUGAAGAUGCAUGAGUUUAAUGCAAGGAACUUUAUGUAAGUUUUGUUGCUGGAAGUUUUAUUGUGUUUCUUUUUGACUCUGCUACUUAAGAGUAAAUCUUUGAUUUUUCUUCCA